CCUACGGGGCGCAGCAGUCGAGAAUCAUUCACAAUGGGGGAAACCCUGAUGGUGCGACGCCGCGUGGGGGAAUGAAGGUCUUCGGAUUGUAAACCCCUGUCAUGUGGGAGCAAAUUAAAAAGAUAGUACCACAAGAGGAAGAGACGGCUAACUCUGUGCCAGCAGCCGCGGUAAUACAGAGGUCUCAAGCGUUGUUCGGAAUCACUGGGCGUAAAGCGUGCGUAGGCUGUUUCGUAAGUCGUGUGUGAAAGGCGCGGGCUCAACCCGCGGACGGCACAUGAUACUGCGAGACUAGAGUAAUGGAGGGGGAACCGGAAUUCUCGGUGUAGCAGUGAAAUGCGUAGAUAUCGAGAGGAACACUCGUGGCGAAGGCGGGUUACUGGACAUUAACUGACGCUGAGGCACGAAGGCCAGGGGAGCGAAAGGGAUUAGAUACCCCUGUAGUC
rnacentral:rRNA from 1 species